rnacentral:rRNA from 1 species
GACGUAGGGGGCGAGCGUUAUCCGGAUUCACUGGGCGUAAAGGGCGCGCAGGCGGCUACGUAAGUCCGGCGUGAAAUCCCACGGCUCAACUGUGGAAUUGCGUCGGAUACUGCGUUGGCUUGAGGACGGUAGAGGCUUCUGGAACUAGCGGUGUAGCGGUGAAAUGCGCAGAUAUCGCUAGGAACGCCGGUGGCGAAGGCGGGAGGCUGGGCCGAUCCUGACGCUGAGGCGCGAAAGCUAGGGGAGCGAACCGG